rnacentral:lncRNA from 1 species
UGGGCAGGAAGAACAGCACGUCGGGGAAAGGGCCGGAGAGGUCGUUGCCGGAUAGGUUGAGAUACACGAGCGCGGUGAGGUUGCCGAUCGACGGCGAGAUCGUCCCGCCGAGCCCACGCCCCGGCAGCGACAGACGCGUGAUCUCGCCGUCGUCGCCGCACCCCACGCCGUCCCACGUGCAGCAGUCUGGCGACCGUUGCCACUCGCCGACGAUGCCAUCGCCUGCCGGCGGCGCGGCCUCGGCGAGGAAGGACAGCAACGCCUCCCUCUCGGCCUCGACGCACGCAGCUGCACGAUCGCUGACGGAGGCGGCCAAAACCAGCACAAGAACUCCCGUAACGACGACCUGGUGGCAACCCAUCUCCUUACUCUCUAUCGUGGCAUGAUGAUCACUACGGCGAGCAUCGCGGUCCAAGUCCACCGCGGUUGAUCUGAUUGGAGAGUUCUACUGUUGUAUAUGACGAUACGUUUAUCUGACCUUAAACUGUACUGAACUGCAUUUUGUAAUGCGAGUCAACUGUGCCAUCAGCAUGGUGGCACACAUCCAUCAUGUGUUGAGUUUCUAUACAAGUAUACAACACAUCCAUAGAUUAAAAAGCUAGGCGAUGCUUCAGUACAUCCCCAUAUUAUGAUUUCUAUAUCUGGAAAAGGACACAUAACCUGCGGGUUGACUUUUUUUUUCGCAAACAUGCAAAAGGAUUGCCCAUCAAUAUAUUAGAAGAAAAAGAGUUUUUGUUAUACGACGCAAUCGGUCAGACAUGCUUAUGCCGGGGGGGGGGGGGGGGGGGAGAAAGAAAAACCAAAAGGAAAAGAAUGGAAAAACUAUUGUGAAAAAAGGCUACUCCAGGACAACAAGAGGGAGGAGGCAGAGCCACCCUACACUCUCAGCAAACCCCCAAAAGCGGCAAUGCCUACGGAAGACCACAGACGGCCUUCCAAAUUGAUGGACUCUAAAACCACAAAGACCGAGCGGAGUGUCAAGUCGAAAACCUUGGAGUUUCACUCCUCCCGCAACCGCCAAGAGAUCAGGAGGACCAAGUAGUCAAAACCGGAGCAAAGGUGCUCAGGUAAGCAAGCCCUAGAAGACGGUCACUAGUCUUGAAGCGAAAUGCCACGGAGGAGGAGAGGGCAGUCCAGCUAAGGGGCGACAACACACGGUGCCAGGUCUAUCGAGCGAACACACAGUCGAGUAGGAUGUGGUUCACGUCUUAAGCUCCUGAGCGCAAAAAGGAUAGGUAGAGUGGCUAUUGAUGCCACACUUAUGGGAAAGAUUAGCUGUCCAGCAGCACUGCUGAAAUACAAACCGAAGGAAGAGUGGGUUGACUUCUGGAGAGGGCAGCUAAUUACGACUAGUUUAAGACCCCCCCCCCCCCAAGUUGCACAAAUGCACAUUACCACUAGCUUUAAUGUUUUGGUUAGUUGCUUAAGUGAAAGUUUGAUCCGGCGUGGACGAAAUAGCAGAAAAUCUCCAGUUAAUAUUCGUCGACGUCACUCGCUGGGCGAGUCGUGAUGGCAACUGUUCGGCUGUUUUUCAGCGGAUGUUGUAUUCCGCAGCGCGCGCGGCUCCUGCGGCCGACGCGGGCAACGUGAACAGGUGGAUUCCUGGUUGCAAUGCCAGGCGAUUCAAGCUACUAGGAGUACAAAGUAAGGCCUCCAGGUUGACUUCCUGGUUCUGACUUCUGAGGAUGCAAUAUUCAAUUCUUAUUCGGGAAAUUUUUUUUAACCUCGAUCAUCAAUUAAGAAAACCGUCAUAAGAAACUGUAGGAAGAGUUAGCAGCAUUUUAUAUAGUAGGCACCUACCAUCUUGCAAAAUUUAAUGUUCAAAGCCGACCUACAGAAAGAGAAGCAAAAUAAACAAAUUUAGUUUUGAAUAUACUAAAGCUACUCAUAGUCAAAUUUGUGUUGUUUUAUUGUGCCAUGUGUGCCAGAAGGAGCAUAAUUAAUAAACGAUUUGGUACGCAAAACAGGUGGCGCGCAAGCAGCAUCCACAAAGCAGGCGUAGGGAGAAGAAUGACAAUAACACUAAAAAAAUUCUACAAACAAGAUGUGUGGAGUAAUAUCACUAUAUUUUUUCCUCACAUAAUAACAUUUAUAUUUUCACAUUUUAUUGUUAUCAUAUAUUAAAAUAGCAAUAUAAUUUUAAAUUCUAUACUACUUACUUAACCAAAGUAACCGAUGUGUAAUAUUCAUAUUUUGUUUUAUAUACAUGAUUUGUUAAUUAUAUUUAAAUUUUGAAUUUUAAUUGUAUUCCUAUAUAAACUCUAAACUACUCCAAUAUUUCAUAUUUUUUAUUCCAAACUUUCGUUAUUUAUAAAUUUUAUUUCCUUAUGGACUCUAAACUCUUUUUCUAAUAUUUUUUAUUUUUAAAUCCUGAAUUUUAGAUAUUUCUAUAUUGUAUUCCUGAUGCUAGAUUACUCUUUCAAUAUUUCUUUUUUAAAUUCUGAAUUUCAGUUAUUUUUAAAUUAUAUUCCUAUAUGGACUUUAGACUCUUCUUUCAAUUUUCCUUAUUUCUUAAUUUCGAAUUUCAAUUAUUUCUAAAUUGUACUACUAUAUGGAUUCUAUACUCUUCUUUCAAUAUUCCUUUAUUAAUUCCCUCUUCUUCCAAUAUUCUUUAUUUCAUAAUUUUGAAUUUCAAUUAUUUCUAAAAUUAUAUUACUAUAUCCGAAUUUCAUUUAUUUAUAAAUUGUAUUACUAUAUGGACUCUAGACUCUUCUCCUAAUCUUCUUUUUUUUUAUUUUUUUUUGAAUUUUUAUAUAUACUGUUUUUUUUUAUGUAUCUCCUAGGCGCUUCCGCUCUAUGACGGCACCGGUAACGACGGCACGCUGGCUCACGUGUGCACCGUGUGCUUAGCGGGUGGUGGCUCGAGGUACGUUAGCAUUGCCCAUAUCAUCGGGGAAACGACUUAGUAUAAGGUGAAUCAGGUCGAUGAAGAAAACAUGCUCUCGAUCGAUGUGUAGGUCCCAAAAAUGGAAAGCGGUGAGGAUGUGGAAUUACACCGGCGAACGCACGGACGACCAACACUCGAGUCAGAUGCGCGAUCGAUGCUGGUGUGUACGAGGCACAUCUCAUGCAUUUGUGCUUUCAAUUGCAACGCAUGGGCAGGAGUUAGCUUCAAGGCCGACGUGGGAGCAUAUAUACGACCGAGGGACGCGCCAUCGGCUAACUGGAUCGUUUGUGUCGGACUCGAUAUCCCGCUCGAGUGCACAUGCAUGCAGGACACAAGCGACGUAUCCGCGAACGGAAAAAGUACACAGAAGGUACCUCAACCACAAAACCAGAUAUUUGACAUCCCUCAACUUACAAGACCGUUCAUUUUAGGUUCUUCGGUGGUUUUGACCCUGGUUUUAUCUGAUGUGGCGGCUGAGUUAGCGUGGGACCCACGUGGGCCCCACCUAUCAGGAUGCCACGUCAUCACCCUACCUCUUUCCCCUUCUCUCCCUUCCUCCUCUCUCUCUCACACACUUUUCUCCUCUCUAGGCAAGCGGCAAGCUGGCCACUGAGUGGAGGACGAGGUCGCCGGGGCGAGGCGGGAAAGGAGGAGGCCGGUCUGGCGGCGAACGACGAGGCGGCGGCGGCUGCGACGCAGGAGCAGGCCACCGCUCCGAGGUCGGAGUUCGGGACGAAGACAUGCAACUGCUGGGGGAGACCGGAGGCGUUUGACGGUGAGGGCCUUGGUCGGAGGCCUAGGCAAUGGUGUGACGUCGAGGAGCUCAGGGUAUCGUCGGGAGUCGGAGGUCGCCGCGUUGGCAGCGAGGGUGGCGGCGGGUGGUGGUGGGGCUUCAUCGGGAGUGGGAGGUUGGGGCAGCGCGAGGGACGGAGAUCGCUGCUUUUGGUGGCGAGGACUGUGGUGGCGUGGGCGGUCGUCUGGAGCCGAGAACCCUCGUCGUGGGGCUUGGCGGCGAUGCGGCGUGGAUGUUUUUAGGGCGUUGUCAGGAGUCGGAGGUCAGAGUGGCGUCAAGGGAUAGAGAUCGCUGCGUUUGGGGUGUGGGGGCGGGGGCGGUGGCAUCGAUAGGAUGAGCUGCGCGGGCGGCGGGGGAGGAGCGGCGUGGGCGGCGGGGGAGCAACUGGGUGCAGGCUGCCGAGGGAGGAGCUACGCGCGGGGCGGGAUGAGCCGCUUGAAGGCCUCUGCGUGGUGCUCGUCGUUGUUGCCGGUGAGGCGACAAAUGUCCACGGUGCUAGCUGAGUUGUCGUCGUACUCGGCCUCGAUGAACAUGAUGCCUGGGGAGACGGUCGCGACGGAGCAGUGGAGUCAUCGUGGGAGGGGCGUCUGAGCUUCUCCCCAGCCGCUCGCCGCCCACGCACAGCUCCUCCCCCCCCUCCCCCUGGCCCUCGCGCCACUCCUCCCCUGCCGCCCGCGCACAGCUCCUCCCCUCGCCGCCUCCAUCUCGCUCCAUCUGCUGCCGGUCCACACGUUUGGCUUUGGCAAGGAGCACGACGAGGCGGCGAUGCAUACCAUCGCGAGACCAUCGGCGGCAUGUUCUCCUUCAUCAAGAAGGAGGCAGCCUCCUCUCCAUCGCCAUGCAGGAGCUCUGCCUCGAGGUCGCAUGUGGCGUGCGUGGACAUGGGCGUCCGUGUCAAGGCAGUCAAUUUCGGCCACUGCAGGAGUCGCUUUGACGAGGGUUGCGCGGCCGCUCCGGCGUCACAGCGUCGCCGGCCGCCGGACCUCCUCCUUGUCAGCUAACGUCAAUCUGAUGGAUCAGGAUAAGGACACAGGAGCUGAUCUCCUUCUAUACAUGCGAUAGCAACAGGAAUCUGUUAGAGUUAGUUUCGGUGAACUGUUGUGAUCCAUAUCGCAUGCAUGUAAUCUCCUAGAUUUGAGGAUUGGUUUGUUCAGAUGAAAAUACAAUUGUGUAAAGCUACGAUGGGGGCUAUUCCCAUCUAUAUUAACACGAACACGGCGCACAGCACGAGUGCGAUCGUUUCAAUCCAGAAUUUCCACAUGGUAUCAGAGCGUUGAUCCAUUUUCCACAAAAAUUGAUCAAUCUCAUGGCUUCAUCGUCGAACUCAGGAAGCGCCGCCAAUCCUCUUCAAGGCCACCCAGUUUCUGAGAAACUCGGGAAGGCCAACCACGCCCUCUGGAAAGCGCAAAUUAGCGCAGCGAUCAGGGGAGCGCGAUUGCUGGGGCAUCUAACUGGUGCUACCCGCAAACCAGACGCUGAGGUGUCUGUCAUCGUUGAUGGCAAGACGGAGAAAAGAACCAACCCGGCGUUUGAAGAUUGGGAGGCCUCGGACCAGCAGGUCCUUGGCUUCCUUCUCUCAUCUCUAUCAAGGGAUGUGCUCAUGCAGGUUGCGACGUGCACAACAGCAGCCGAAGCAUGGAAGGCAAUUGAGGAGAUGUACUCUACCCACACCCGCGCAAGAUCCAUCAGCGCUCGCUUCGCCCUCUCCAACGCGAAGAAGGGAACCAUGACAACUCCGGAAUUCUUCGCCAAGAUGAAAGCCCUCGGUGAUGAGAUGGUGAUGGCAGGCGGCCGUCCCCUGGAUGAUGAGGAACUCAUCCAGUACAUCAUUACCGGGCUUGGUGAAGGGUACAGCGAGGUGGUCUCUGCUGUGUGUGCUCGUUCUGAGCCACUCACAAUAGGAGAUCUAUACUCGCAAGUGCUGAACUACGAGGCGCGUCAAGCUCUCUAUCGGGGAGCGCAGGAGGCUGUCGUCAACCUUGCCAAUCGCGGCAAUCAAGGUGGUGGUGGCGGCGGACGAGGCGCUGCUCGGGGCCGCGGCCGCGACAAUCAAGGUGGUGGCCGCGGGCGUGGACGCACACCAGGAGGAGUCGACAAGCGCCCAACAUGUCAAGUGUGCUUCAAGAGAGGACACAUGGCCACCGACUGCUGGUAUAGGUAUGACGAAGAUUAUGUACCUGAUGCUAAACAUGUUGCAGCGGCGACUACAAAUUCCUACGGCGUCGAUACCAAUUGGUAUAUCGACACAGGCGCCACUGACCAUAUUACUGGAGAGUUGGACAAGCUCACAGUAAAGGAGAAGUACAAUGGAGGUGAACAAAUCCACACUGCAAGUGGAGCAGGUAUGGAUAUAAGUCAUGUUGGUCAUACAGUUGUUCAUACCCCAAGUCGUAACAUUCAUCUAAAAAAUGUUUUAUAUGUGCCACAAACCAAGAAAAGUCUCAUCUCUGUACAUCGUUUAGUUGAUGAUAACUCUGCUUUCCUUGAAUUACAUCGUGAUCAUUUCUUUCUUAAGGAUCGAAUCACCAGGAGAACUCUUCUUAAAGGACAGUCUUGGCGCAGACUGUAUCCUUUGCCGCAGUCUUCCCUGAAGCAAGCCUAUAGUGUCUUCAAACCUUCCCUAGAUCGGUGGCAUAGUCGUUUGGGUCAUCCUUCAAUUCCUAUUGUUAAGCAAGUAGUCAAUAAAUUCAAUCUCCCUUAUUUAGAUUUGUCAAAUGAGUCAGUUUGUAAUGCUUGUCAGCAAGCCAAGAGUCAUCAGUUACCUUUUCCUGUCUCUACAAGUAUUUCUCAGCAUCCCCUAGAACUUAUUUUUUCUGAUGUAUGGGGUCCUGCCCCAGAAUCUGUUGGGAGAAAGAAAUACUAUGUCAGUUUUAUUGAUGAUUUUAGUAAGUUUACUUGGGUUUAUUUGUUACAAUAUAAAUCUCAAGUACUUGAAACAUUUCAGGAGUUUCAAGCCAUGGUUGAACGCCUGUUUGACAGGAAAAUCCUAGCCAUGCAAACUGACUGGGGAGGUGAAUAUCAAUCCCUUCAUUCCUUCUUUUCAAAAAUUGGGAUAGUGCAUCAUGUUUCCUGUCCUCAUACUCAUCAACAGAAUGGGUCAGCCGAAAGGAAACAUCGUCAUAUAGUUGAAGUAGCACUAUCUCUUUUAUCUCAUGCCACCAUGCCUUUGAAAUUUUGGGAUGAAGCUGUUCUAGCUGCUGCUUAUUUAAUCAAUAGAGUUCCUAGCAGAGUUAUCCAUAAUAUUAGCCCUCUUGAAAAAUUACACCACCAGAAACCUGAUUAUUCCUCUCUUAGGGUUUUUGGGUGUGCUUGUUGGCCGAACCUUCGACCUUACAACAAUCACAAACUUCAGUUUCGAUCCAAGCGAUGUGUUUUUCUUGGCUUUAGCGACAUGCUUAAAGGUUUUAAGUGUUUAGAAGUUUCCUCUGGCCGGGUCUAUAUAUCUAGGGAUGUUGUCUUUGAUGAAACAAUUUUCCCAUUUUCUGAACUUCAUGCUAACGCUGGUGCUUGCCUUAGGGCUGAGAUAGACUUGCUGUCUACCGAUCUAUUUGGUCCGGCUAGGUCAAAGGGGAAUGAAGAAUUGUCUAACCAUAUGACUAAUCCGUUGCCUCAUGACGUUUUGGAUGAAAAUGAGUCACAGGAAAAUGAUGCUACUCCUUCGCCAAGCACAGAAGAUCCGGAUGGAGCAGUGUCGCAUGAUGAUUCGGCAUCAAAUUCCGCGCCAUCUGAUGAUUGCAGCAGUCCUGGUGAGACAGCAGCUGACAGCCAAUCACAUGAUGCCACGGGUGACUCGCCAUCCAGCGCUGCGGCGCACUCCCGCUCCAUGCCAGACACGCGGCACCCUGCCACUGGAGGGUCAGUUCCUGUCAUUGAUGCUGACGUGCGUCUGUCGACAGGGGAAGAAGAACAGCAGCACCAGUCUGAUGAUGCGACGUCGGAACAGCAGCCGGAACAGGAGCAAGACAGGCCACGCACCAGGUUGCAAAGUGGACUUCGCAAAGAAAAGGUAUAUACUGAUGGUACUAUUAGGUACAAAAAUUCCUGGUUUACAGAAUCUGGUGAACCUACUACUGAUUUAGAAGCUCUAAAGGAUAGAAAUUGGAAAAUAGCUAUGGACUCAGAAUAUGAUGCUUUAGUUAAGAAUAAAACCUGGCACCUAGUUCCUCCUCAGAGAGGGAAAAAUGUCAUAGGAUGCAAAUGGGUUUAUAAAAUUAAGAGAAAGGCUGAUGGCACACUGGAUAGAUAUAAAGCGAGAUUGGUAGCAAAGGGGUUUAAGCAGAGAUAUGGUAUUGAUUAUGAGGAUACAUUUAGUCCUGUAGUUAAAGCUGCUACAAUCAGAAUAAUUUUGUCCUUGGCUGUGUCUAGAGGUUGGAGUCUUAGACAGUUAGAUGUGCAAAAUGCCUUUCUCCAUGGGUAUUUAGAAGAAGAAGUGUAUAUGCAGCAACCACCAGGCUUUGAGGAUCCAACUAAACCACACUUUGUUUGCAAGCUUGAUAAAGCACUAUAUGGACUCAAACAGGCACCACGAGCAUGGUUCUCGAGGUUGAGUAAGAAACUUGUUAAUCUUGGUUUUAGUGGAUCCAAAGCUGAUACUUCCUUGUUCUUUCUCAAUAAAGGAGGCAUUACUAUGUUUGUUUUGGUAUAUGUUGAUGAUAUUAUUGUAGCCAGUUCUUCAGAGAGGGCAACUACAGCACUUCUUCAUGAUUUGAAGGAAGAGUUUGCUCUCAAAGAUCUAGGUGAGCUGCAUUACUUUCUUGGUAUAGAGGUAAGCAAGGUUCACAAUGGAAUUGUCUUGACACAAGAAAAAUACGCCGCUGAUUUGUUAAAGAAAGUGGGAAUGUUGGAUUGUAAACCAUCAAAUACUCCUAUGUCAGUAAGUGAAAAACUUUCUUUACAUGAAGGAACACCUUUGGGAGAUGUUGAUGCUACUCAGUAUAGGAGUAUUGUUGGUGCUUUACAAUAUUUAACUCUCACUAGACCAGAUAUAGCCUUUUCUGUCAACAAAGUUUGUCAAUAUUUGCAUGCUCCAACUACAGAUCAUUGGAUAGCUGUCAAGAGAAUAUUAAGAUAUCUUAAGCAAUGCACUUGUUUGGGGCUAAAUAUUCAUAAGUCUGGAUCCACUUUGGUUAGUGGAUUCUCUGAUGCAGACUGGGCUGGUAGCUUAGAUGAUAGAAGAUCAACUGGUGGGUUUGCAGUUUUUCUGGGAUCAAAUCUAGUUUCUUGGAGUGCUAGAAAACAGGCUACAGUAUCCAGGUCCAGCACAGAAUCUGAAUAUAAAGCAAUUGCAAAUGCAACAGCAGAAAUUAUGUGGGUGCAAACACUCCUGACAGAACUAGGAAUUAAAAGUCCUCAGACAGCAAAGAUAUGGUGUGACAAUCUUGGAGCCAAGUAUCUUUCUGCAAACCCAGUGUUUCAUGCUAGAACAAAGCAUAUUGAAGUUGACUAUUAUUUUGUUAGAGAACGGGUAAGUCAAAAGCUUUUAGAAAUUGAUUUUGUUUCCUCUAAUGAUCAAGUUGCAGAUGGUUUCACAAAGCCUCUGUCAGUAAGACUUCUGGAGAAUUUUAAAGGCAACCUGAACCUAAGCCGGUCAAGGUUGAGAGAGGGUGUCAGCUAACGUCAAUCUGAUGGAUCAGGAUAAGGACACAGGAGCUGAUCUCCUUCUAUACAUGCGAUAGCAACAGGAAUCUGUUAGAGUUAGUUUCGGUGAACUGUUGUGAUCCAUAUCGCAUGCAUGUAAUCUCCUAGAUUUGAGGAUUGGUUUGUUCAGAUGAAAAUACAAUUGUGUAAAGCUACGAUGGGGGCUAUUCCCAUCUAUAUUAACACGAACACGACGCACAGCACGAGUGCGAUCGUUUCAAUCCAGAAUUUCCACACUCCUCUCCCGUCUUGCCCCGGCGACCUCCUCCCCCACCAGCCGGCCGGCUUGCCGCUUGCCCAGGGGCGGAUCCACAGUAUGUGGAGUGGAUAUUUAGUGUAUUACUAAUGUGUAAUUAAGUAAAAAAUUUUGAGCACACUAUCAGUUCUAAUAAGAUGUCCCCACUUGAUUUUUGGGCUAGGUCCGCCCCUGCGCUUGCCCAUAGAGGAGAAAAGUGAGAGAGAGAGGAGGAAGGGAGAGGAGGGAAAAGAGAUAGGGUGUACCUUUUCCAUCCGCGAACGGACAAAAGCAUGUGUUCGACGGGCCCAUGUCAACACAAACAAGGCCUUAAAAUGGGCCCAGAGAAGGUUUCGACGUGUUUCACAGGCCGAGACAGAUGGACGUGCUUGCUGCUGCUUCGUGUCGCGCAGAGAGAGAGAGAGAAGGUGUUCUAAGUUCUGAAAAUUUGGGGUCCAUUAACCUUGAACUGCCAUUCUGUAGUCCAUUUUAAUGAUGGUUAAGCAACCCACUGCUCCACCAAGGCACCAAUACGUAAUUUUCCACUGUUCAGAUUACAGUCAUUUUUGCAUAUUUCCACCUGCGCAGCAUACAGAAAUGCUCCAUUUUGGCUGAACAAUCCGACAGGUUUGGCAUUGGAUCAGACACAUUCAGACGUCUGAUCAGCUGAUUUUUUUUUAAUAAUGGAUUUGAAAAAACCUGGCCUCUUCAUCCCGUAGAAUAUACGCAACCACAAAAUUAUAUAGUCUGAGCAUUUAAGCUCGCAAUACAGAUUCCAAACAACAAAACAUAAAACAUAAAAACUAGACACUAGACCUCCGAACAAUAUCUAGCAGCAACAAAAGAGAGAAAACAAGCUCUUAAACUUCUAGAGAUUUGUUCUAGUCCAGCAAAAAGUACAUCGAGGUACCGGUACCUCACGAUACUAAAUUGUUUCCGAUCGUUGGAUCUAGCUGGAUAAAAUGGGCAUUGUUAAAUCUAACGAUCAGAAAUGAUUUGGUACCGGUACCUCGAGAUAUUUUUAGUUGGACCUUAGCAAAUCUCAAGCUUCUAACCUUCCCUCCAAGUUCCACCUUCCUUAGUAAAUAACUCUAUCAUUUUGACUUUCAAUUUUUUUGCACCCACUUCUCACAACCUCUCUGUCCUCCUCAAGUAGCAAGGACCACUGACGAGCCCAAUGCGUCCCCCCCUAAAAAUAACCUAUAUCACAGAGUUAGUUUUUAAGCCAUUAAAGACGACAUAAUUCCUAGAUAACCAAAUUGUCCAACACAUCGCCGAUAUCAAAAAAGCCAGUUUCUCAACCUAAAUACUAAGCCACUCGGCCAACCACCCAAGAGAUUAGUGAUAGACGAUGGCUCUUGGAUAUCUAGCAUUACAUACAAGGCAUUCCACAUCAAGCGAGCAACCUGGCACUCAAAGAAGAGAUGGUAGAUUGUUUCUUCGCCAUAGCAGAAGCAACACUUAGUGCUUCAUUUCCAUCUUCUUUUGACCAAAUUGUCCUUUGUUAGAAUCGCUCCUUUCUUAAUAUACCACAAGAAAAUCUUAAAUCUUAGUCAGAAUUCUUACCUUCCAUAUUAUUGACUUUCUUGGCAUAACAUUCCUGUACAUUAAAGAUUUGUACAUCGAAUUUACUAAAAAAUUAUAUUUCCACAUGCUUUCCAUCUCAAUUGAUUUGGAUCGUUCCAGAGCUUUAGUCUGAUCAGCCGAUGAAUUGGACGUUGUCGAGCCAACUGACAAUAUCCUGUAUCACCGGCCGGCUCAACGGCGUCGAGUCGACGCAGAGGCAUGCGAGGUCGAGCACGUACAGCAUCUGUGCCUCGUCGCCAUUGCCCCUCAGCCGCUGGUCGAGCACCUCGCCGUGCCUCCCCUGCGACCUCAUCUGGAGCACCCACUGGACGAGCUCCAGCUGCUGCCCGUGCCGAAGAACCUCGAAGGGCCGUCUCCCCGUCAGUAGCUCCAGCAACACGACGCCGAAGCUGUACACGUCGCCGCGCCGCGUCGCCACCCACGCCUGGCCGUACUCCGGCGGGAUGUACCCCAGCGUGCCGACCAGCUCCGUCGUGACGUGCGUCCGGUCGGGGAGGAUGAGGCGCGCCAGCCCGAAGUCGGCGACGCGGGCCUCGCCGGCCUCGUCGAGGAGGAUGUUGCUCGACUUGAUGUCGCGGUGCACGAUCUGUGGCUUGCACUGGUCGUGGAUGUAGAGCACGCCGCGGCUGGCGCCGCGCGCGAUGCUGAGCCUGGCGCGCCAGUCCAGCUGCUGCGGCGCGCCAUCGCCGGCAUGGCUCUCGUGCAGCCAGUCGUGGAGGCUGCCGUUCGCCAUGUACGGGUAGAUCAGCAGCCGCAGCUGCCCGCGGAUGUAGAAGCCCAGGAGAGGGACAAGGUUCUCGUGGCGCGUCGCGGACAGCGCCUCCACCUCCGCCUGGAACUCCCGCUCCACCAGGCACAUGUCGCCGUUGAGCUUCUUCACGGCGAGCCGGGUGCCAUCCUCCAACUCGGCCAGGAACACCAGGCCAUAGCCGCCCGACCCGAUGAUUCUCUCCGGGCUGAAGUUGUUGGUCGCCUUCAGGAUGUCCAGGAAGGUCAAGCUCUUCGCCGUCUCACCGGCGGCCUCCGACAUGAACAGGAUCGUGUCUUUGGAGCAGUCGCCGUACAGCUCCGACAUGGAGUCGAACAGGGACACGUCCACGCCUUUGCCGCCGUCACGGACAGCUGCAUUGGACAUCAAUUUUCUGACGGUGAUCACAACGCAUCCGAGGAAGAUGACGAGAGCAACGAGGCCAAAGCAAACUCCAAGAACGAUGGCGAUGAUGACCCUCUUCCCGACGUGCUUGAUCGGAUCAUUGCCUCUCGUCGCGCCGUUCAUGUUGCCACAAGGCACAGAGAUCGCCCGGCCGCAAAGCUUCGCGUUCCCCAUGAAGCUCUUCGGCGGGAACGCGUCGAACUGGCCGCCCGUGGGGAUCGGCCCCUCGAGGUCGUUGUGUGCGACGUUGAAGACGGCGAGGAAGUUUAGCUUGUUGAGCGCAGAAGGGAUCGUCCCUGUCAGGAGGUUCCAGCUCAAGUCGAGGACCUGCAACCUGGCAAGGCUGGUCAGCUCGGUCGGGAUGUCGCCGGAGAGGUUGUUGUAACUGACGUCUAGCAUUUGCAGCGUCUUCAGCUUGCCGACCUCCGGGGAGAUCGUGCCGGUGAUGGCGUUCUCGCUGAAGUUGAGCGUCACGGCGACGCCCGACAGCUGGUAGUACCCGCGGCCAUGCCGGUUCGCCUCUCCGUUGUCCGGAUUAAGAGCGAAUGUGAGUAUGAGAUGGCCUGGAUUGUACUCUGCCAUGGCCUGCUCCGAUGUCAGUAGCCGCAUCUCCAUCAGCGACGGCGGUAUCACCCCGGACAGGAGGUUCCCGGAGAGGUCGACGUAGUACAGCUUCGGCAUGGCGCCGAGCCAGCUCGGGAUCGGGCCGGUGAGGCGGUUGCCGGAGAGAUUCAAGAUGUUGAGGUCCUGCAGCUUCGACAGCCAUGACGGGAUCGCGCCCGUCAGAGCGCUCUUCUCCAACACAAUUACCCGAACUUUUCUGAUGUGGUCGCCGACCCAGCCGGCGUCUGGCAGCGCCUCUCCGUAGAAGUUGUACGAGAGGAGCAGCGCGGUGAGGUUCGUGCAGCUCUUCAGGUUCCAGAACAUGCCGCUGAUGUUGACGAAGGAGUUAAAUGUCAACGAGAACAAUUCGAGCUCUUUCAGGUUGCCGAUCUCCGGCGAGACCUGCCCGCCCAUGACGUUGCGGCUGACGCGCAGCGCCUUCAUCGCCGUGCAGGUGUAGAUGCUUGGCGGGAUUGUGCCGGUGAAGUUGUUGGACGCCACGUCGAAGACGGUGAGGUUGGCGAGGCCGGAGAAGUCAACGACCGUGAGGUCCCCGACGAAGCUGUUCGACCGGAGGUCGAUGAACCGGAGGCUGGUCCAGUUGCUCAACGCUGACGGGAGCGUUCCGGUGAGGUUGUUAUUGGCGAGCCGGAGCUCCUCCAGCUUCGGCAUCUUGCUGAUCGACUCCGGCAAUCCGCCGGUGAGCAAAUUAUAGCCCAGAUCGAGUGUGACCAGGUUGGUCAGCUUGGCGAUGCUCUCGUGAUCAAGCUGGCCUUCUAUCUGGUUCAACGGGAGCUCCAGGUGCUGGAGCGCCUUCACGUCGAAGAGGUCGCCGGGAAGUUCGCCGGUGAGGUUGUUGCGGCCGGCGCUGAAAACUCGCAGCUGCGAGCAGUUGCCGAACCCGGGGGAGAUGACCCCGCUGAGCACGUUGACGGAGAGGUCAAGAACGGCGAGAGCCGGGCAGCUCACGCACAAGGACGGGAUCGUGCCAUGGAAGCUGUUGUUGCUGGCAUUCAGCGACACGAGGCGCGGCGUGUGCUCCCAGAUCGCGGACGGGAACUGCCCCGCCAAGAGGUUGCUCGACACGUCGAGCACCUCCAGCGAGAGGCCGCCGCGGGCAGCGGCGCCCGUCGCCACGCUAGGUAGCUCGCCGGAGAGGCAGUUGUAGCUGACGUCGACGACGGUGACAUUGGGCAGGGAGAAGAGCACCUCUGGGAACUGGCCGGCGAGGCUGUUGCCGGACAGGUUGAGGUGCGUGAGCCCGGUGAGGUUGCCAAUCGACGGCGAGAUCGUCCCGCCGAGCCCACGUCCCGGCAGCGACAGGCGCGUGACCUCGCCGUCGCCGCCGCACCCCACGCCGUCCCAAGUGCAGCAGUCCGGCGACCGUUGCCACUCGCCGACGAUGCCAUCUCC